rnacentral:lncRNA from 1 species
AUGGAGGAGGAAGACUGUGGAAUGCAUGGCAAGUGGGCUGUCACUUGGAUCACCAUCAGGAAGCCCAAGGUGCAGGUGGAAGAGGAGCAGAGGCGCUCCAAGAGGAAGAGGGCGGAGGACAGCGCGGACCAGGCCGAGGCCCAGCAAGCAGAGGCACAGAGGAAGCAGAAGAUCAUCGACUGGGUGAUCUCCGUGCUGGAAAACAGCCCCAACCAACACCACAAGCGCAUGGUGAUAGGGCUGUGCCAAAGGGGGAUGAGGCAGAGGGACAGCGGCGACCCCAAGCCCAAAGCCCAGCCUGAACUGCAGCCCAACCCUGAGCCCCAGCCUGAUCCUGUGGAGAAGCCUGAGUCUGGGGCUGACAGCGCGGUCUCAGGGGCUCCCCGCUGCUGCCUCGGCCUCCGCUUUGCUUCCAGGGCAGCCUCCGCCUCCACCAUGGCCUCCACAACCACCUCCACCUCCAACGUGGCCUCCACGUCCACCUCCACCUUCACCUCCACCUAGGGAGUGGACCGAGGGGGCGGAGAAGCACAGGCCCCAGAAACUGGGAGGAGGGGACAGGGGAAGGGAUGUUGGCCUCAUGGAGACCAAGUGUGGACAAUAAAGCACCGUCAAGACACGAAAGGGGGCCUCUGUGUGCAUUUCUGCCCAUUCCCUGAGGGCUGUGAAGGAAGGAAGGGCAGGAGGGUUAGGGAACAAGGCGGGAGGGGGACGGGG